rnacentral:rRNA from 1 species
ACGGAGGAUCCAAGCGUUAUCCGGAUUUAUUGGGUUUAAAGGGUGCGCAGGCGGAUCAAUAAGUCAGGGGUGAAAAAUUUCAGCUUAACUGGAAUCGUGCCUUUGAUACUGUUGGACUUGAGUAUAAUUGACGUAACUGGAAUGUGAUGUGUAGCGGUGAAAUGCGUAGAUAUGACGCAGAACGCCAGUGGUGAAGGCGACUCACGGGAUUAUAACUGACGCUCAUGCGCGAAAGCGUGGGGAGCAAACAG